rnacentral:rRNA from 1 species
AACCAGCACCUCAAGUGGUCAGGAGGAUUAUUGGGCCUAAAGCAUCCGUAGCCGGCUUUGUUAGUUUUCGGUUAAAUCCAUGUGCUUAACUCAUGGGCUGCCGAAAAUACUGCAAGGCUAGGGAGUGGGAGAGGUAGACGGUACUCGAUAGGAAGGGGUAAAAUCCUUUGAUCUAUUGAUGACCACCUGUGGCGAAGGCGGUCUACCAGAACACGUUCGACGGUGAGGGAUGAAAGCUGGGGGAGCAAACCGG